rnacentral:lncRNA from 1 species
GGGAGGGGGCGGGGGGAGGCCGCGUCCCGGGCUUAGAGCCCUAACACGGGACCAGCGACUAAAAUACUGUCCUGGAAGUAGCCGCCAUCGCACCCCACCUGCCACAAGAAGACUACUUACCUCACACUUUCUUCCACAGAAGCGCUAUUAAAGGAGCCCUGACCCCACAUGCUGGGCCCCCAGCCUGCCACCCGGUGCCUCGUUAACCUUCAGCCAGCCGUCGCGCACGUGCUGACGCUUACCACGCUCGCUUCCGCGGCUUCGGACCCACACUGCGCCUGCGCGCACGGUGCUGCAACAUUGUCCGGGCUGGGCUGGAGACCCGGCCAGGUCGAAAGUCACGCGGUGCCAAGGACUAGGCCCUGGAACACGCUUCGAGGCGAGGACUCCACAAGCUGCUGCCUACCUGCACGCAGAAAGCAGCGCAUUAAGGACUGCUGGCGUCUUAUAGAUGUAAAACAUGAAGCCUGGUGUGGUGCUGCAUGCCUAUAUUCCCAGCACAUAGAAGGCUGAAGAAGGAGGAUCAGCGUGAGUUCAAGGCCAGCUUGUCCAUAGUUCAGAAGCUGGAUAGUCCCACAAUUGUCAUCUGCACACUGGCCAGCCAGAGAACCCAGUAGCUAUACAGUUCAAGAAGUUAGAAGCCUCAGAACAAGAUGGACCAAUGGUGCGACCCUCAAGGCUGAAGGCCUGCAAGCUUCCUGGAGAUUCACUGAUGUGAGUCCACUUUGAAAGACUGAAGAAGCUGGAGUUGGCUAUUUCCAG